UUUAUGGAGAGUUUGAUCCUGGCUCAGGAUGAACGCUGGCGGCGUGCCUAAUACAUGCAAGUCGAGCGAACGGACGAGAAGCUUGCUUCUCUGAUGUUAGCGGCGGACGGGUGAGUAACACGUGGAUAACCUACCUAUAAGACUGGGAUAACUUCGGGAAACCGGAGCUAAUACCGGAUAAUAUUUUGAACCGCAUGGUUCAAAAGUAAAAGACGGUCUUGCUGUCACUUAUAGAUGGAUCCGCGCUGCAUUAGCUAGUUGGUAAGGUAACGGCUUACCAAGGCAACGAUGCAUAGCCGACCUGAGAGGGUGAUCGGCCACACUGGAACUGAGACACGGUCCAGACUCCUACGGGAGGCAGCAGUAGGGAAUCUUCCGCAAUGGGCGAAAGCCUGACGGAGCAACGCCGCGUGAGUGAUGAAGGUCUUCGGAUCGUAAAACUCUGUUAUUAGGGAAGAACAUAUGUGUAAGUAACUGUGCACAUCUUGACGGUACCUAAUCAGAAAGCCACGGCUAACUACGUGCCAGCAGCCGCGGUAAUACGUAGGUGGCAAGCGUUAUCCGGAAUUAUUGGGCGUAAAGCGCGCGUAGGCGGUUUUUUAAGUCUGAUGUGAAAGCCCACGGCUCAACCGUGGAGGGUCAUUGGAAACUGGAAAACUUGAGUGCAGAAGAGGAAAGUGGAAUUCCAUGUGUAGCGGUGAAAUGCGCAGAGAUAUGGAGGAACACCAGUGGCGAAGGCGACUUUCUGGUCUGUAACUGACGCUGAUGUGCGAAAGCGUGGGGAUCAAACAGGAUUAGAUACCCUGGUAGUCCACGCCGUAAACGAUGAGUGCUAAGUGUUAGGGGGUUUCCGCCCCUUAGUGCUGCAGCUAACGCAUUAAGCACUCCGCCUGGGGAGUACGACCGCAAGGUUGAAACUCAAAGGAAUUGACGGGGACCCGCACAAGCGGUGGAGCAUGUGGUUUAAUUCGAAGCAACGCGAAGAACCUUACCAAAUCUUGACAUCCUUUGACAACUCUAGAGAUAGAGCCUUCCCCUUCGGGGGACAAAGUGACAGGUGGUGCAUGGUUGUCGUCAGCUCGUGUCGUGAGAUGUUGGGUUAAGUCCCGCAACGAGCGCAACCCUUAAGCUUAGUUGCCAUCAUUAAGUUGGGCACUCUAAGUUGACUGCCGGUGACAAACCGGAGGAAGGUGGGGAUGACGUCAAAUCAUCAUGCCCCUUAUGAUUUGGGCUACACACGUGCUACAAUGGACAAUACAAAGGGCAGCGAAACCGCGAGGUCAAGCAAAUCCCAUAAAGUUGUUCUCAGUUCGGAUUGUAGUCUGCAACUCGACUACAUGAAGCUGGAAUCGCUAGUAAUCGUAGAUCAGCAUGCUACGGUGAAUACGUUCCCGGGUCUUGUACACACCGCCCGUCACACCACGAGAGUUUGUAACACCCGAAGCCGGUGGAGUAACCUUUUAG
rnacentral:rRNA from 1 species